GACGAACGCUGGCGGCGUGCUUAACACAUGCAAGUCGAACGGAAAAUUUUACUUCGGUGAAAUUCUUAGUGGCGAACGGGUGAGUAACGCGUAGACAACCUGCCUCUUAGAUGGGGACAACAUCGCGAAAGCGGUGCUAAUACCGAAUGAAGUGGAGCUUCCGCAUGGAAGCAUCACCAAAGGUGGCCUCUAUUUAUAAGCUACCACUGAGAGAUGGGUCUGCGUCUGAUUAGCUAGUUGGCGGGGUAAUGGCCCACCAAGGCGACGAUCAGUAGCCGGUCUGAGAGGAUGAACGGCCACAUUGGGACUGAGACACGGCCCAAACUCCUACGGGAGGCAGCAGUGGGGAAUCUUCCGCAAUGGACGAAAUUCUGACGGAGCAACGCCGCGUGAGUGAAGAAGGUUUUCGGAUCGUAAAGCUCUGUUGUUUGAGACGAAUGUGCAGACUUUGAAUAAGGGUUUGUAAUGACGGUAUUAAACGAGAAAGCCACGGCUAACUACGUGCCAGCCGCCGCUGUAA
rnacentral:rRNA from 1 species